rnacentral:rRNA from 1 species
GGUGACCUCCUGGGAAGUCCUCCUGUUGCACCCAUU